AUUGAACGCUGGCGGCAGGCCUAACACAUGCAAGUCGAACGGUAGCACAGAGGAGCUUGCUCCUUGGGUGACGAGUGGCGGACGGGUGAGUAAUGUCUGGGAAACUGCCCGAUGGAGGGGGAUAACUACUGGAAACGGUAGCUAAUACCGCAUAACGUCUUCGGACCAAAGUGGGGGACCUUCAGGCCUCACACCAUCGGAUGUGCCCAGAUGGGAUUAGCUAGUAGGUGGGGUAAUGGCUCACCUAGGCGACGAUCCCUAGCUGGUCUGAGAGGAUGACCGGCCACACUGGAACUGAGACACGGUCCAGACUCCUACGGGAGGCAGCAGUGGGGAAUAUUGCACAAUGGGCGCAAGCCUGAUGCAGCCAUGCCGCGUGUAUGAAGAAGGCCUUCGGGUUGUAAAGUACUUUCAGCGGGGAGGAAGACGUUAAGGUUAAUAACCUUGGCGAUUGACGUUACCCGCAGAAGAAGCACCGGCUAACUCCGUGCCAGCAGCCGCAGUAA
rnacentral:rRNA from 1 species